UACGGAGGGUGCAAACGUUGCUCGGAAUCAUUGGGCGUAAAGCGCACGUAGGCGGACUGCUAAGUCGGAUGUGAAAGCCCUCGGCUUAACCGAGGAAGUGCAUUCGAAACUGACAGUCUUGAGUAUGGAAGAGGGUCGCGGAAUUCCCGGUGUAGAGGUGAAAUUCGUAGAUAUCGGGAGGAACACCAGUGGCGAAGGCGGCGACCUGGGCCAAUACUGACGCUGAGGUGCGAAAGCGUGGGGAGCAAACAGG
rnacentral:rRNA from 1 species